rnacentral:rRNA from 1 species
GACGUGACCGCAUGGUCUGCGUUUGGAAAGAUUUUUCGGUUGGGGAUGGGCUCGCGGCCUAUCAGCUUGUUGGUGAGGUAAUGGCUCACCAAGGCGUCGACGGGUAGCCGGCCUGAGAGGGUGACCGGCCACACUGGGACUGAGACACGGCCCAGACUCCUACGGGAGGCAGCAGUGGGGAAUAUUGCACAAUGGGCGCAAGCCUGAUGCAGCAACGCCGCGUGAGGGAUGACGGCCUUCGGGUUGUAAACCUCUUUUAGCAGGGAAGAAGCGAAAGUGACGGUACCUGCAGAAAAAGCGCCGGCUAACUACGUGCCAGCAGCCGCGGUAAUACGUAGGGCGCAAGCGUUAUCCGGAAUUAUUGGGCGUAAAGAGCUCGUAGGCGGUUUGUCGCGUCUGCUGUGAAAUCCCGAGGCUCAACCUCGGGCCUGCAGUGGGUACGGGCAGACUAGAGUGCGGUAGGGGAGAUUGGAAUUCCUGGUGUAGCGGUGGAAUGCGCAGAUAUCAGGAGGAACACCGAUGGCGAAGGCAGAUCUCUGGGCCGUAACUGACGCUGAGGAGCGAAAGGGUGGGGAGCAAACAGGCUUAGAUACCCUGGUAGUCCACCCCGUAAACGUUGGGAACUAGUUGUGGGGUCCAUUCCACGGAUUCCGUGACGCAGCUAACGCAUUAAGUUCCCCGCCUGGGGAGUACGGCCGCAAGGCUAAAACUCAAAGGAAUUGACGGGGACCCGCACAAGCGGCGGAGCAUGCGGAUUAAUUCGAUGCAACGCGAAGAACCUUACCAAGGCUUGACAUAUACGAGAACGGGCCAGAAAUGGUCAACUCUUUGGACACUCGUAAACAGGUGGUGCAUGGUUGUCGUCAGCUCGUGUCGUGAGAUGUUGGGUUAAGUCCCGCAACGAGCGCAACCCUCGUUCUAUGUUGCCAGCACGUAAUGGUGGGAACUCAUGGGAUACUGCCGGGGUCAACUCGGAGGAAGGUGGGGAUGACGUCAAAUCAUCAUGCCCCUUAUGUCUUGGGCUUCACGCAUGCUACAAUGGCCGGUACAAAGGGCUGCAAUACCGUGAGGUGGAGCGAAUCCCAAAAAGCCGGUCCCAGUUCGGAUUGAGGUCUGCAACUCGACCUCAUGAAGUCGGAGUCGCUAGUAAUCGCAGAUCAGCAACGCUGCGGUGAAUACGUUCCCGGGUCUUGUACACACCGCCCGUCAAGUCAUGAAAGUCGGUAACACCUGAAGCCGGUGGCCUAACCCUUGUGGAGGGAGCCGUCGAAGGUGGGAUCGGUAAUUAGGACUAAGUCGUAAC